CGGUGACUAAAAUUGCAAUGUCGUGUGAAGUUUCUGAAAUCCUUCUAUUUCAAAAGACGUGCUCCAGAACAGUGCUCGAGAGCAACGACGUUGCAGUCGCCACGUGCCGUCAACUUUCCGCGCCUGGAACGUAAGUAGAGAGUUUUUCCGGUUGAAAAGUACUACUAAUUAUUGCAGACCAGCUCGCAAGCCCAACUCGAACCGACACGAGAAAAACGAAUGUUUUCAGUUUUCCAAUCUAUCGAAAUGUGGGCGAUGGGCUCAAAUUGCGUCUACGAAGAACGUGAAAUUGUUGAUUGAUAAUUAUGAGG
rnacentral:sRNA from 1 species